GAUGAACGCUGGCGGCGUGCCUAAUACAUGCAAGUCGAGCGAACGGACGAGAAGCUUGCUUUUCUGAUGUUAGCGGCGGACGGGUGAGUAACACGUGGAUAACCUACCUAUAAGACUGGGAUAACUUCGGGAAACCGGAGCUAAUACCGGAUAAUAUUUUGAACCGCAUGGUUCAAAAGUGAAAGACGGUCUUGCUGUCACUUAUAGAUGGAUCCGCGCUGCAUUAGCUAGUUGGUAAGGUAACGGCUUACCAAGGCAACGAUGCAUAGCCGACCUGAGAGGGUGAUCGGCCACACUGGAACGGAGACACGGUCCAGACGCCUACGGGAGGCAGCAGUAGGGAAUCUUCCGCAAUGGGCGAAAGCCUGACGGAGCAACGCCGCGUGAGUGAUGAAGGUCUUCGGAUCGUAAAACUCUGUUAUUAGGGAAGAACAUAUGUGUAAGUAACUGUGCACAGCUUGACGGUACCUAAUCAGAAAGCCACGGCUAACUACGUG
rnacentral:rRNA from 1 species